rnacentral:piRNA from 1 species
GGGGGUACGGAAAACUGGGGACAGAGA